GCGGGAAGAGCUCAAAUUUAUAAUCUGGCACUUUCAGUGUCCGAGUUGUAAUCUCUAGAAGUGUUUUCCGCGUUGGACCGCACACAAGUCUGUUGGAAUACAGCGGCACAGUGGUGACACCCCCGUACACGGUGCGGACGCCCAGCGCUUUGUGAUACACUUUCGAAGAGUCGAGUUGUUUGGGAAUGCAGCUCAAAUUGGGUGGUAAAUUCCAUCUAAAGCUAAAUAUUGGCGAGAGACCGAUAGCGAACAAGUACCGUGAGGGAAAGAUGAAAAGCACUUUGGAAAGAGAGUUAACAGUACGUGAAAUUGUUGGAAGGGAAACGCUUGAAGUCAGACUUGCUUGCCGGAGCUUGCUUCGGUUUGCAGGCCAGCAUCAGUUUUCCGGGGUGGAUAAUGGCGGUUAGAAGGUAGCAGCUUCAGCUGUGUUAUAGCUUUCCGCUGGAUACAUCCUGGGGGACUGAGGAACGCAGCGUGCUUUUAGCGGGGGUUUCGACCUCUUCACGCUUAGGAUGCUGGUGUAAUGGCUUUAAACGACCCGUCUU
rnacentral:rRNA from 1 species